AUUUUUUCUCCUUAAAGCACAUGUACCUGGGAGGUCACAGUCUUAACAAAGUCAAAGUUUUGUGUGUUUGAGAGCUUUGCCCUACUACCAUGUAAUUGAAAUCAAGCUUUUAAAAGCUCACGGUAAUAUGUUUGUUCUUUAACCUCACCCAACGAAGAGAGAGCGCUUUGCUGAGAGAACCCAUUGUUACGCUCCUGCACUUAACUGAUAAGGAACUGAUACAACCAGUAGCAAAGAAAGAAACUAAUAAUAAUAUAAAAAGAUUCACAUGCCUUCCUUCCCCAGCAUACUAAUGCCUUGCCCAAUGAAUUUCCCAAGUUGUUAACAAAUGAGGUGCAGUAUAUUUAAUAAUAUUAACAUAUUGUUGCAAGGCUUAUUUAAUAACAGGUAGGAGGGAUGAGUUCUCAUGUCAGAAAAUGGAGGGCCUCAUGCCAUUUGGAGACCUGCUCAUUAUCCGUUCUUACAAUUUAAUGAUAUAUGUGUCUAUUACCGAGGAGAAGUAGAGGAUCUACUCAGGAACUCUGUGAGAUUGAUUGACUGGAAAAACGCAUAAAGGCUUAAACUAUCUUACAUCAUCUGCCAUGCAUACAGGACACUUUCUCUGCUAUGUGAAAAACUCUGAGCAACUGGAGACAGUGAAAAUAUGUAAAUGGGACUGGGCUGAUUUCAAGGAGAUGACAUGUGGGUUCUGAAUGUGUUCGGCAAACCAGGAAAUCACAUCCUUCCCAUUCCAGGAACCAGGACCUCAUGAGCGAACUUCGCUCUGGAGAAACCUAGUGAGAUGUGAGAACAACUUGUGCAAUAAAAUCAGUGGGGAAUGGAUAUCAAAGUGUACAGCAACAUUAGCUGCAGUAGCUUCAGAAGAUAAAGAGUUAUGGUCAUAUUUUAGACUGCACAAAGUGGGAUUACAAGUCUCUUCUGGCAUUUCAACCAAAGAAGUCAAGAAGCAAAUGGCAAGACCAGCUAUUCAAAUACUGCCACCAAGACAAGAGGUGGAGGUCGGUCUAUUCUCCCAGCUUUUGCACAUCUGGCCAAACCAAACUGGAGUUGAAUCUGCAACUGAUCCCCAGGUCAUGACUCAGCUGUCCCCAGAUGUUCAGAUACCAAGAAGAUGACAAUGAGGAGCCUGGGAGAUGGCAUUCCUUGAACCUCAACAACUCCAACAGUCUCACAAGCAUUCAAAUGGGAACUCUGAACAAAACACAUUCAGGAGUUGAAAAAUCCAACUGGCUCUGAUGUUUCCUGUUUUCCUGGAUUGCAGCAGUGCUGAUAGUCAGAUACGGCAUGAGAAGGGUGUGGGAAAUGGCAGCAGAACAUACCCUGCCCUGUCUUGGAACAUGAGGAACUUCACCUGUGCUCAAAGAGAAGAUCGAGGAAAACUGGCAGAGGGAGGAAGCGUAUCUGGAGUGUUUUGGCUGUCGUGUAAAAUUUAAAAGAAUGCAAAAUUUGUGAAAGAUUCAGUGUUGGAUGGACAUGUCUACCAGGCAAAGACAGCAGCUAGUGUUCAUCACAUCUGCAGUCCGACUCUGGCAGGAUCAGGACUCGGAUGGCCAGUGCCUAUGGGGCUGAGAGUGAGGAGGGACCUGGAACCUCAUGGGGACAGGAAAAGUUCACACUGCUGCCAACGUCAAUGUCUCCUAUUUGCUUCUUCCAGAAGAGUCAGGUCCUGUUCCAUGGAGAAACAGAAGGAAUUAGAGUAUCCUCCUCUCAACAAAGACAGUUCUUCCAUUUCAUGGAAAGAGGAUGCACCACUGCUUGCUUCAGUCUGCUAUAAUACUUGCAGAAAUUGCCUACAUCAUCUACAUUCAAAGCCUGCUCUGUAAUGGGCAGUGGAUAUCACUUAUGUAAUUAAGCAGAGGUAAAUAAACAUGCGUAUGGUACGCAGUUAAGCUAAUCAUCCCAGAUUAUCAGUACAGUCAGUGAGGACAUAGACAGGCUAUGCAUAGGAAUCUUGAGUGUGAUUCGUCCUCCUUAAGUAAAUGUAUACAGUAGGUCAGGAAAACUGCACCCUAAAAACACUUAUUUCUCUUCCUUGCCUAUAAGGAGAGCCCAGAGUGAUUAGCACAGCUGUAGAUAUCUAUUCUGUAGAUGCUGAAAGAGAAAUGACACAAAUUCCACCCUGAUGUCUGCAAAAACAAAUGAAGUUUGCCAUAAUGGUGGUGGUUGAGCUGUGGCUUGCAACGCACAACAGGAAUAUGUGGAGAUGCUUCUAGCUUCUCCUUGAUCAACUCUGAGCAUCAAUAGUUUGCAGAGGUGUCUCAGGGCACUUGUUGCUAAAGUCAUAAUUAGUCUGUUGGUAAGGUGGGACACAAAUCAGAUUUAGAUUCCUGAAAGAGAUGCAGCUCUUACAUUGUGGAGGAUAAAAACAGAACAUUUAAUUGCCAAAUGGACAUAUGAAUAUGUCGAUCAAAAAACUUUUUUUUUUUUUUUGGGGGGGGGGGGGGAAGUAAAAAGUUAUGUCUUAGGUGGAGGAACAACUGGCUAAUCCUUCAUAGAAUCAUUAUCCUAGAAUCAUAGAUUCAUUAAGGUUGGAAGAGACCAAGAUCAUCUGCUCCAACUGUCGACUCAUCCCCAGCAUGCCCACUAAAUCAUACCCCUCAGUGCCUGAACUCUUCCAGGGACAGUGACUCCACCACCUCCCUAGGCAGCCUGUUCCUAUGUGUUACUACUCUUCCUGAGAAUAAUUUUUUCCUAACAUUCAAUCUGAACCUCCCUUGGUACAACUUAAGGCCAUCACCUCUCAUCCUAACUGCUGUUACCUAGGAGAAGAGGCCGACACCCACCUCACUACAACCUCCUUUCAUGCAGUUGUAGAGACCAAUAAGGUCUCCCCUGAGCCUUCUCCAGACUGAACAAUCCCAGUUCCCUCAGUCACUCCUCAUAAGACUUCCAGGAAUUUCAAAGGCCGAAAGUCUCGGUGUUAGCAUUAGGAGAUACCAAAAUGAUCUGACCAUGUAGGGAUGCACCUUGUAGUUGUAUCAUCCCCAGUCUGAGGAGUUGGGGCCAGUGUGGAUACCCUUAUUCCAUCUCACCAAAUGAAGAGCAAAAUAGAAAACCAUUCAUGCUGACUUGCCAGCUACUGCCUUUCAAGUAUCAUUACACAUUUCACAACAAUCUUCUCCUUUUAUAAGUACAAUCACUUGUGGCUCUGGGAUCUACCUACCAACUGCUCUUUAUUCAUCAUUUCUCCAGCAACUCAUACCUUAACAACAUUACACCAGAGCAGAGCCUGUCUGUGGCUCCACACAGAGCUCGACAAUGUCCUGCCUACAUGUGGAUGGAUGGAGGCAGUCAGUAAGAAGCAACUUUAGGCACUGCCUUCUCCCUGGGAACUACAGGCAUUGACUCUGGAGCAUAUCCCAGCUCUUGCCAGCACAGUAAGCAAGAGAUUUCAUCAUAAUCAUUUUAAUAUCUUUCAAAUGUUGCAUGGACAGAUAGCAGUCCAGGAAGAAUAUACACUAGAGGGUAGUCAGGGAGCGUGAUUAGUAUUGGAAACAAGUAUUUUUCUUGGCAGAGGAUGAGCAUGCCAUUUGACAGAUAGCAAAACACGGCAAGAAUGCUGCUCAGUAGUAGCAAAUGCCAAACAUUCUCUUGUGUACACCGAAGAAACUGAGUUUUGUUUUGUCUUGUUUUGUUUUUAAGCAUAGGGGAAGGGAGGGGGCUUACCACUGUCUGCAGUAGCACACAUGGCAGUACCUGCUUCUACUGCACUGUGCUCACAGCAGCUGGGAGCAUUUUCCAUGUGGGAUGGUUCUUCUCCCAAACCAAUCUAACAGGGUUAAUAAGCAAUCUGAAAAUACUGACUGGGCUUUAAUUUCUGCUGGUGGAGAGCAAACCAUUACCAUUACCAUCUUUCACACAUACAUGCAUCUCAUCUUCUGUAUCAGUGUCUGUCAGCUGUUGAAGUCAGCCAAGAAAAAAUGGGAUUAUUUCUGAGCAGUCUGGACUUCUGAGAGCCCUUUAAAUUAAAACAAAGCUCUAUGUCAACAAAGUUUUAUUUUGGUAUGUUUUACUCCAUUGCCAUAUACUGCAGAAUAAAGUGUUUGGGUGUCUAAAGAGAAAGUUAAACAGUAAUUAUUUAAUUUUCAGAUUGUCUCUGGUAGGCAUCCAGGGCAAUGAGAUUUUGAUAAAUAUUUUAUAUGGAUUUUUACAGAAUGUGUAUCAUCUGCUCUUCUAUAUGGAAGCAGACAACUUCUUGUCUGUGGUGCCAAUGAUUUUAACCUAAGUCACAGCUUGACAGGAUAGUUUUUUUAGAAAAAAAAGCACCAGGAUAAAAAAUCAUCCCUCGGCCUGGGAGAGUGAUUUUCCACUCAGGUGCAAUGCAGCUUCUCAGAGUCACUCAGGCAAAGGCUCUGCAGUCCUGAACUGGCCUGGUUUCCUCAGCUGUGGCCUUUUUCUUAUGAGAGGACAGCUGAUUGCAUGACCCCAUGAAACACAAUUUAGUGGAUAAAUCUGGAAGGCAAAACAAAUCCUUGCUUUUGAACCAAGCCCAAGAUAAACACCUGGGUAAAAGAAGAGCCAUCACACAGCUUUUCACAGAACCAGCUCUUCCAAAGUUUGGACACAACACUUUUCAUUCUUCAUUCAUUUCUUAGGGCUUGUGAAAGUAGAAGUGUUUUCUUCAGCUCUUGAUUUUACACGUUCAGUCAUGCUACCUGCUAUGCUUGGAACAAUCUUGUACAUCCUUUCAUGAAAUCUCCUCCCACCUCUCCAUACAAUGCAUUCCCACAGCAGUGCUGCCUCUUCUUUUCCUCUAAGGUCACUGCUCUCCCUAGAAUUUGGGCCAGCUGUUACUCCUGUGGCGUUGUUCACUUUCUCCAGAUUACCCUGUGUACUCCUCAGGGAUGAAUACCUUACUACACACUGGAGAAGCAAACUGAAGUCCAACCAAAGUUAAUGGCAAAAUUCCCAUCAACUUCAACAGAGCCAGGAUUUUGCUCAAAGUAUUCAAAUGAGUCCUUCGCUGGGCGUCUGUGAUGCAGAUAUUUCUGUGUCCAAGGGCAAAUUGUAUCUCCUAUCUACAUGUAAAGCAGACCGGACAGCUAAUAUUUUCAGUGUAGUAUUUCUGUCUAAAAUAAGCAAUUUUGUCUGAUAGCAAUAUAGAAUUUUAUAUAGCAUGUAAAAGCCUGAUUAUAUAAAGCUUUUUGUUCUUUUUUUCCACUUCAGUUGGCAAAUAUAUAUUUGCAGAUAUCUUAUCUAUAUGUUGCUGUUUCCUUGAGCACCUCAAACAAUAAAUCGAAACAUGCCUCAUGGUAACAUUGUUGGGUAUUUUUCUCUCACCCACAUACAUACCUACAAAGGUUUAAAAUACAACUUUUGAAAAGAUUCAGGACUGAAGGGGGAAAAUAAUCUUAUUAUGCAACAAUUAAUUGUCCUGCCAAAUGUGGGUGCCUUGGAAGCUUGAACAACCCGCCAACACACCUGUGUACAUUGGCAUUAAGUUAAAUCAAUAACAAAAAAAAGGCCCGCAGCCAAUUACCUGUCACAUGGAGAUUCAUUUUAAGUGGAGGUUUUACAAGCAUAACUUGAAUCAUAUCAUACUUACAAGAUAGUCCGUAUAUGAUAUUUACAAAGAUAUUUGAAUUGAGAAUAACAUUGAACCAAAAAGCUGUGUAUUACAAUGUCAUUAAGAAGCAAUCAACAGCCACAGUAGCAAUUAAUUUUCUGUCACAACAGAGAACAGUAAUUUACCAAAAUACAGAUAGGAGCAAAAAGAAAUGUGUUUUCUCUAAAUUGCAAUUUCUUGUAAUUAUUAUCAUACAUUAGGCCAGGAAAAAUGUCAUUUCCUACUUCCUGUCUUUCACUGUCUUGAUAUAUAUGCCUCACGUAUGCCCAUUUAUUGCUUUGUAAUUAUUUUCCAAAUAGUUCUUUGGUUGUUUAAAAACAGCUCAGCCUUAUUUCUUGUAUUUUUUUCCAGUAUAUGAAGAAAUUACAUGAUUACUAUUUCCUCCUUUACAGUGAUUGCCAAACCAGGUUCAUGAACGUAACAAUCAUGCAGUAUGGAGUAAACAGGAGUCAGAAGCACAGUUCUGUCCCUCUUCCAGUUCUGCCCAUCAAGGCACAUCAGACAUCAAGGAUGGUCUCGUAGGUAGUUUUCAUAAUGGGAAAGGACCUAAUAGUGGUAACAAAGCCUUGAUGUGCAAGAUGCUGUAUGAAUCUUCAGCCCCCAUCCAUUUCAGUAGAUGUUAAAGGUGCAAAGUAUUUGGCCUAAUUCAUCAACUUGUCUUUCUCUACUUACUUCUUCACCACAGAGUAACUCAAAAAGUCACUGUAGGUUUUGAGUUGUUCUCUGCAGUCCUGUAUUCUAGAUUCUAUUUUUUUUUAAGGUAUAUUCAUUUAUUAGUAUGAAUCAUGGUCAAUUUAAAAAGCUUUCAUGUUAAAGACAGUACUCAUAAAAUCUAUAAUGGAUAUUUCAUCCAUUUUCCAAGAAUUCUGAAGAUCAUUUUUUAAUCAUGAUGAAUCAACAGCUCCUUCUGACACAGCACUGUUUCUCCACCAAGGCCAUUGCAUGGCAUGCAGGCAUGCUGUCAGAGCAGAACCAGCUUCAGGAUGUGCUAUGACUUGACCUGCCUGCAAGAGAGGAUAGAACAUCCUGUAACUUAAGAACUCUUCCAGCAAUCCUCCAAUUGUUUCAAAAUUAUUUGAUAAAAAUGCAAUUUAGGUCCUCUUGAGGUUCAUCUUAUAGGGAAAUAUACCUUUACAUUAAUACACUGGUAUAAGGCUAGAAUGUAACAGAUGAGAACUGCAGUUGUUCUAACUACUGUAAUGUUUUGUGAGCUGGGAAGAUUUCAUUCCACUUCACUAUGAAUUUGAUCAAGUUAAAUUUCAGUAAGAAAAAUGAUGGUAACAUAAUGCCAAAGAUCCAUUAAACAAGAUCUUACUGCACUAAGUGUUGCAUAUAUUGAAUUAAAAGAUUGCCUUACUGUUGUGGUUUAACCCAGCAAGUGGCAAAGCACCACACAGUCAUUCAUUCACUGUUCCUCUUCCAAGUGGGAUUGGGGAGAGAACUGGAGUUGCGCCAGGGGAGAUUCACGUUGGAUAUUAGGGAAAAUUUCUUCUCUGAAAGAGUGAUCAGGCACUGGAAUGGGCUGCCCAGGGUGGUGGUGGAGUCACUGUCCAUGGAGGUGUUCAAGAAAUGUUUAGAUGUUGUACUGAGGAACAUGGUUUAGUGAGGAAAUAUUGGUGGUAGGUGGAUGGUUGUGCUUGAUCUUGGAGGUCUUUUCCAAUCUUAAUGGCCUCAAUGACUAUGAACUAUCAUUAAAAGUGACACUCAGGAGAACAGUUCCAACUGUUCACAAACAUGUUUUCCCUGUCAGACUUGAUUUUCUAUAUUUCCAUAAUUUUUUACCAUAAACUCUGUGUUUUAUAAGAUUGUCUGUAUAUUUGAGGGUUCUCUUCUGAAGAUGUUAUUCCAGAAUGGUUUUAUUCUUUAAAUAUUAAGGUGAAGAGAAUCAAAGAUUUUACACCCUUCCUCUCAAGCUGCCUUAUUCUUCAAAAAAUGUUUAGAAUUGCAUUAACAUCUUGUAAAACUAUAACAUUAGCAGCUAGAAGUCAUUGUUAAAGCUUGAAGACACUGUCAGUGAAGUCACAUUAAUUAAUGUUUCCUGUGUUAAUGUAUCUAAAUCUUAACUGUAAUUGAGUAGUUACAUCAGCUAGGUUGUCCUUUUUACUUUUUCAGACCUUAAGCAGUAUUGAUGAGUAUUUCCUGUUAUCUGAAUAACAAUAUACUCCAGGAUUGUAAAGGUAAUGUGUCCAUUAGCAGUAAGUCUCUCACUGGCCCUUACAGCUCCCACAUCCUCGUUGGAAAACAGGGCCACAGUCCUGAAGACCUGAGGCUGUUUUAAGCUCCUCAAAUAAAGACGUUUCUCUCAAAGCAGAGUUAGAAGCUGAAGAUAACAGAGUGCAAUAGGACUUGUGAAAAGGAUGUCAGCAAUGUCAGUUGUCAUGGUUUCAGGUCUGAGAGAACGUUAAGUUUCUGAACUUGUUCUGUUAUCAGAGCCACUCUCAGUUCCCCAUUUAUUGCCAAACUAUGUAGACUCAGAGAAGCUGGAAACAUGAGGGACCUGUCUGGCAUCUGAGUUCAGACUCUUUCAGGAAUGCUCCAUACCUAAGUUUCCAAAACAUACCAAGUGCUAAAUGGCUUCAUCCAGGGACCCUUGAAGCCACUGAAGUGCAAUGUAUCAUUGAGGUGCUUUUCUCGUCCAAUAAUUCUAAUUUUUGUAGAGUUACUUAUAAGGUCUUGCAUCUGCAAAGCAGAAAAAAAGAUUGAGAAAACUUUAUUUCCAAAAAUUAAAAAUUAAAUAAAGGUUAAUUUAAUAAAGGUGAUCGUAUUUCAAUUAAAAAAAAAAAAAAAAAAAAAAAGUACAGUUCCUUUUCACGGUUUUAACAUCAGAAAUGUUUAAACAGCCAACACCUCCCAACCAGGUAUCUUUUUUGAAGCAUCUAUAUAUUGAACAAAAUAGUUAGGAGUUAUCAUAUCUACUGCGACCUAGUAGUAUUUUUGAUACAGGAUUUCAGAUCAAUUAACAGAGGGUCACAGAGUGAGAACUACUUAAGAGUGUGUCCCAGGUAGGGCACUGCCAAUGGCACAAGCCAAGCAGAACGCAGGAAUUCAUCCUUGAGAUCCAACUGGAAGAUGUCAUUGAAAUGCCACAAGUUCUGUCUGCCAGACUUCAAGUUGACAGGAUUGAGAGCUUCCCUCUUUGGAAAAAAAAAAAAAAGACAACAGAUAAAGAUGCCUCAGUGGAAAUAUGCCAGGUUUCUAUGCAAUCACUCACCUCGUCAAGCUGGAAUAAUUUCCACAUUGCUCCAUCAUACAUUGACUCGAAUUACACUAUAACUUUGAAAUCAACAUUUUCUAGUUGUCUCCUUGAAAACUUCUCAAAAUGAUCUUCUUAUCCUUUCUGUUUUCUUGCAUUCUGAUGCUGAUUUCUUGCAUUCAUCUGAUGCUGAUUUCUUGCAUUCUUCUGAUGCUCAUCGUAUUUGGAGUACAGUAUCAGCUGCAACUGAGGAUACAAACCGAUACAUAUACUGACUACAGAUAUGUUUGCAUUUACACUUGUGUAUGCGUACUGCAUUGCAGUGGAAAAAAAAAAAAACGUUUACUUAAGUGAAAUUGGUAUUACUCUGUUCUCAUAUGGCUAUGCAGAGGGCACGGUUACCUUCCAGUGGGAAAUAGAUACCAUAGAGGCAUUUAACAUCAAGCAGUUGACGGUGAAACUACACACGCUUUCAUAUAAAAUGCCACGGAACUAAGUUACUGCAUUCUUCAAUAUUCUUCUCUGAGACCACUUCUAACUUUUAUGAUCCCUCUAAUUCAAACUUAAGUAAUAGAGAAUGUGUCAAUACAACUUUCCCUUUAAGUAUUGCUAAGGAGCAUGCAGGAGCCCACAUGUUUGCUUAACUGGCCCUGCAACCAACACUGCUAACAAUAAAACCAGAAGUUCAAACCCAGUUCCUUGCUUUCAAGUAUGCCCUUCAAACAGAAAAUACCAGUUUGUCAUCCUUCUAAAACAAAGUGCAUGAUAACCAGGAAUAAAUCUAACGUAUCUACCCCAUCAUUUUACUGACUUUUUUCAACACAUACUUUCUACCAAAGGUAACAGCUACUCAUGGCAUAUAUGCGUGUGCAUUGGUAAGCAUGCCUCAGAGACAUACAACCUCCCCCACCCUGCAUUUUCAAGUGCUAUAACACACUGCCUGCUUCCUAGUCCUGCAAAUACCCUUGAAGUGGAAUAAUGUUUAACAGAGGGCAAUACUGCUGGAGAACUGCCAAAGAAAUGAAGGGUGAGGGAAGCCAGUCAAGGCAUUCUGAUGAAUAUUUUUGUAUCUCCAAAGACACAACUAUUAUGCAAACAUUGACCUGUUUGUCAAGCAAUCACAGUUUACUAUUGCUUAAAGGUCACAGAAGUUUCUAAGAUUAUUAAAUAAUGCAUGGAGCCAAAGACCAAGGAUAUUAUUUAAACAGUGGAGGUAACUUUUGUUAGUGAAGGACAAUACGAUGACAAUGCCCCUUUAUUUUCCCUUGAAAAUCUCUAGAGUUUGCACUGUAAUAUAGUAAUGGCCCGUUUAAGCUGAAAGAAGGAACUCUGCUGCGGAAAUGUGGCUCAGUACUACAAUAAAAUAUUACAUGCAUUUUUCUCCCCCUUUCUCUACAUUUGUUGGUACAUGAUUUAUGUUUUUCUACAGGCCUUUCUCUGGUGCUAGGGAGCAACAGUCUCUCCAGCAGUCUAUACACAUAUAUUUGUGAAUGCAAUGAUCAGUCCCCAUUUGUCUUUCCAAUGUGGAUUAUAAUCCAGUGCAAAAAUUGUUUUGCAACAAUUGAGAGUAUGUGCUGUGCACACAUAAACAGGAAUCAGCAGAGGUUUGCAAAACCUAGUAUCAACUUUGUCAUCUGUUGAGACUGCUUCAUGAUAAGAAAUCCCACACUUACAGUUUCCCAAAGGCUGCAGUCCCUUCUAUUCUCACUAGGCCUUCCAGGUCAUCUCUUCAUGGUCUUCAGAUAUUCCCAAACUCCAGCUAGGUGAGUGAUCCCUUCCAAUGCAAAGAAUUCUGCUCCAUGACCUUCAGUUUCCAGGUAGCUGCCCUUUUGACAGAGACCCAGAAGGAUACAUUUCCCCCAUUUCACCAAGCAGCUACCAAGUUGUUCUGAAAGCUGCAGUGAGCUGGCCCUGGGAUCUUCAUCAGAAACUACAAGCAGAUAAUCUCAAAGGUUUUGUUCCAUCUCAGAAAUAAUCAGUAGUUCCCUCUACAUUUAUAAAGCACAGCUCUGUAUAAACUGGAAGAUAAUGGAAGUGAAGUAUUAAUGACAGAAUUUCUGAUUUAAACAAAAUGAAUAAAAAAAGAAUAGCAGUCAUGAAUUUGGGUGGAUUCUAGCACUCAGUGUUUUUUUUUCUUCUUGGUGGUACUUGGCUACUGUUGCCUCAUUUUUAUGAACAUUUAUAUUUGGAAGACUCCCCAUUAUCAUUCUGCUUGGUUGCCAACAGCAAAAGCCAUAACGACAGGUCCAAGAAGGGACAGAGAAAGAAGAACAUUUGGAGGCCAACAGAGAACUAAAAUUUCAGUUUCAUUCAUCAUGAUCAUGAAUAUGCACUCCCAUCAAAACAUUUAUAGGUGACUUACAGUAAUAUGAAAGACACCUAGCUGCCAAGAAACCUUUGGUCAUAUCACAGGGCAACCGAGGUUAUCAUCAAGAACAAAAACUAAUCUUAAAAAAAAAAUCCAAUAAAAAGACAAUAUCUCUGGACAAUUAUUUCACAUGACAAAUAUCACGACUUCAUAGAAUAACUCAGUCAUUCCAAGAAGCACUAUUUCUCCUGGAAAUCCAGAUGAAGUGAUUUGUGGAGUGGGAGGUACCUAAUAAAGCCAGUGGAAGUGUUGGCAGGGAGUUUAAUGGCACAGCACCAGAAUGACACUCCUGACCUUACAGUUUAAGCAAGAUGCCUUCAGAGGAAAGAGAAGAAAGAGCCCGUUAUUAAUGGAGUUGACAGAUACAGAAUUAAGCCUGAUAAACCCAAACUACAUUCUUCAGAGUCACCUUCCCACUGAAAACUUAUGGGCAUUUGAAAUUACAUGCAGUAACUUCAUUUCUUAUCCCAAGAGGAGGUGAGUAUUCGUUUGUAUACCCUGGAGACUCUUCAAAUAAACCACUGCUCAGGGCACUGUCUGCCAGACCCACCUUCCCUAUGAUCUAGGGGAGAAAAGCAUCAAAUGAAAGCCAGAAAGUUCACCCAUCUGGAUGCAACCUGCACGUACUAAAGUGGGCAUGUCUGUUCUGUUAGCAGAGAUCCCCAGCUCCCAGCUCAGUGCAGCGCCAGGAGGAGACGCCAUGCCAGGUCAUGAAGCCAGAUCUGUAUUCAUAGGCUGUUGAACCCAAAUAAGAAAUCCUCUCUGUCCACAUUCAGCAGUAAUACAUGGCAUGCACCCAGUGUGCUCAGGUGGAUUAUACAGAUGUGUGCAGUACCUAAACCAUGCUGCUGCCAGCUCUCCAUGGCAACUCAUUUCAGCAAAGACAGGGACACUUGUAGGAAAGCAAACUGAUGCAGGAGAAUUUAAUAAGUCUUGAGCCUACAUGAAAAUAAAGCCAAGCUUUCCUUAUCCUGUCUUGUCCUCACUGUUCAAUAAAAAGAAUGCAAGAAAAAAAAGCAAUCUGUAGAGUAUAAAUCAUGACUUGAUAAAUGUAGGUCCUUAGAAGCCAGUUGUGUAAAUACAGAUACACCUGCAGGCCCUGAUAACCAGAUUAGCAGCAACAGCUGCCAGACCAUGCAGCAACAACCAAGAGAUAUUGUUGUGUCCUGGCCAACGAAGUUUCCAGAUUGACUCUCAGGUGCUUCCCGUACAUCACUGUUAGUGAGAGCAAUGCAUCAUGAAAGUAGAUGAUCUCCAUUGAUCUUGAAAAUGUAACAUUUUUCUCUUUGAAUGUAUACAAUGCAGUUUGACACUCGCACUAGUUCACAGUACCUCCAGUGUACAAAGGGAUGAGACUUUGUCUGCUGGCAGCUGGGAAGAAUAUCUGAACAGGAAAAAAGAAGUUGUGUCUGGGUUUGGUAUGACCUCAUGUUAAAUAGUAUAUCCUUAUUGGGUAAAUAUCCAUAUCAACUGAUUCAUAGGUGUCCUGCCUUACCUGUUCUUAUUGAAAAUUAGAAUCUAAAAUUAACAAUUUUUCUUGGCAAAGCUCCACUUGAAUUACAUGAAAAAAUCUGAUGAUCCUCAGAGUGACAAGAAGUACAAGCUAGAUCUAGAAAUAUACACAGGCAUAGACAGAGGGGAAAAAAAAUCUUUUUGUCCCUACCAACAAAUCUAACAUCAGUGGUUCUAUCUCAGCACUGCUCUUGUUAUUCUUCCUAGAAAUAGAGAUAGUUCAUAGACAAUAUAAUAAAAUUUAGGUGCUUGUGACCCACUGAGACUGUUGAGCCAGGCCUUCCUUGGUGGUACAGUUCCACUGGGGCUGAGGCAGUGGUAGAGCCAGGGCUGAUAACAUCAUCCACUGGCAGCCCCCAACACAGCAAGCCAUCAACCUGCCAUGAGCAGAAGGAGGUGGGCCCAGAGACACUGCUGUAGGGCAGUUCUCCUGCAACAUUGCCAAAGCAAGACAACCAGCACCAGGCAGGACUGAAACAAGGCUCCUGGGCAUGGAAAGCAGUGGGUUGAGGCUCCCACUAUGAGUAGUAUCCUCAGGAAAAUCCUUUAUAGGAAAGUGUUUGAAUACCUUUAUAUCCAAAUUCAUGUGAUAAUCCUGCCCUAAAGGACUGGCAGGACUUAGGCAUGAACUAACCAGCCAAGAACUAGUCUUCCACCACGAGUAUCGGGUCUAGACUAAAAAGCCUGUGUUUCUACUCAUUUCUAAUGAUUCAAAUGACUCCCUUCUUGACAAGAAUAUCUACUGCAACCAAAAACAGUGAAAACUUGAUAUAAGUUGAAAUGUUGACUGUAUAGUUAAUAUGGACUGAACACCUAGUCAGAUCAAAAUAACUGAAAUAAUUGAAGGGUUACUGUAUGCUGGAUGUCUCUUGUCUUUGUGAGUAGUGGAAUGGAUACUCUCACAGGCAAGCUGUGAGGCAACAAAUUCAGCCUUCACAUUUCCAGUCAAGAGGCACUGCACUGCAGACAGAACUCUGAAGAAUAAUUACUGAUUACUAAUAUACUGUGGAGAAAUUGCUUUAUUACAAGGUGCAUUCUAACAUGCUGUAAAGAUGUACAAAAAAAAAAAAAAACAAAACAAAACAGAAAAAUUAAAUACUUAAAAGAUGAUUCUAGCUUGUUGUGGCCUGUUGCAAAGCAGUUAUAAAUUGGAGUACUUACAGCGGUUCAUGCAUGUCCCUGCAUGUUUGAACAGCAUAUCAGAGAAUUUAUUUAUCAGGGGAAAAAAAAGUCUCUGCUAAGUCAUUUAGUUCUUAAAAAGGUUCCUGUCAUUUACAGUUUUGCCAGAUUCUAUAAGGCGCAAUACCAGAUUGUCACAUGGGAAAGGCUUGCAGAUUCAAGUCCUUAUUCUUCCCUCUAGCGAGUACUGGAACGAACAAAUUUGGGACACAGAGGUUACGUCAAAGCCUUCCAACUCUUUGAAGGAUAAUUACCAUAGCUGCAUAAUCACAUGGUCUACCUUCCAUGCGUUCAUGUUAAGGAGAGGACAUUAAUCUAACUAACGCCCAGCGGCUGACAUUAUAUAUAUAUAUAUAUAUAUAUACUAUAGUUCUCUAUAAGAUAUAGCACACCACUUAACAGCUGCAGAAAACUCUUUACUACAUUCACAAACCCUUGAUGGAAAGAGCUGCUUAAUUCUUUUCAGACCUGUCAUAUUAGGUAAGAGUGUUCUGCUGCAGGAUGAUGAUGAUGCUAAUUGUCACAUUGUAUUGUUUCACUAGACAGCCUAGCCCACUACUUUAUUAUGGGUUAUGUAAGAGUUACAAGAGGUAGCCAAUAAACAGUGCACUAACAGAAUCAUUUACACUCUGAAAUGUUCAGAAGUACUCACAGGUAUGUCUAGAAGUCAUCUAAAACAACGCUUUGGUUCCAGGGGAUGGCAUGUGCUGAUGCUAUGAUCUAUGUAAGACUCUCCUCAGCAAACAAAUCACAAAGAAUGUUCCCGCAGCUCUUGGUGUCGGAGGCUUGGAGGAGCUCAUCCUCUUUCAUGUUAUGCAGUAUCCAAAGAGACUAUAGUGCAAUAUUCCCUUUUUCACUAUCUGUACAAAGGUUUUGGUUGACUGGCAAGGAAAUAAUGGAAUCAAAUGGCACAUAACAACUGGCCCUCUCCCAGCGCUUGUCCAUCUUCUUUCAGUCCAUUUGUGAAAUCAUAUGGAAAUCUCAGCAAUGUUGGGAUGUCCAAACAAGCAUGGUGAGCCUUUCAGUCCCUAUUUAAUAUAUUAAUGAUCAAGAAAUUGUGUCCUUUCUCACGUGGUUUGCAAAUCUUUACUGCUGUCAUUUCCACCGGAAAGUGGUAAAAUAUGGAAGUGUUUUGAUGGAGGGAGGAGGAAAAUCUUUUCAGAUACAGUGUAGAAACAAAUAAACACAAGACAUAGUUCCUGGUUUGUAACCAAAAUCAAUAGCCAUAUGCAGCAGGACUGAGGUCAAUUUAUGCUCCCAUGUUUCACAUAUUGACAAAAUCUGUAUUAUUGUAAUGCUGUGUUUUAUUAACCUAUGUCUAAUAAAGCUUAUACUUCAUUAAAAAGCCAUUUUCAAACAGAUUCUAUGCAUUUUAUUAAUAAAUAAAUUUUAUUACUUACUGUAAAAUCAGUAACAUAAAUAAAGUACAUUAAGCAUGUCCUUUUACCUACAGAAAACAUAUCACAACUAUUUUCCUCCAAGAUCUAAUUAGAUUAAGCUUUCAUUUUCAAAACAGAAGAAAAUACCUGGGGCAGAUCUGGCUAUAAGUCAGCACCAUACCUGUUGGCUUCUUUGUUUUGUAUUUUUGUUUAUUUGGUUAUUAUUUUACCAAGUAGCAAAUUUGCCUAUGUAAUAAACAAAAGGAGCCCUCUUGUGAUAGAGCCUACUCAAAAGUAAAAACAGAUACUCGUGAAAAUAUCAAAUGAUUAAUUUUUUUGCAUUUUUUAAACAAUUAAAUGGUGUUCAUUAAUAUUUCAUACUGCACAAAUAUUUUUAUAACCAUGCUUGCUAUCUCUGUAACAUUCAGAUAUGCCUGCAAAUGUUGAGUAGCCAUAGAUCCUAGAGUCAGGCUCUUUAUUACAUAUGCUUAUAACUAUGACUCAUAAACAAGUUCUAAACUAAAUGCAGCAUAUGCAAUUGUUGAAAUAGCACUUUGUUUGGGGGAAAUAGCGUCUUGAAUUAAUGCUAUGAUGGAAGUGUGAACUUGUAUAACAUAUCUGAGUUUCAAUUUCUUACCUUUAAAAUGGGAGAAUUAACUUCAAAUGCUGAGUAUAUCACUCUUGUAAGAGAUAACAAGUCUGGAAACCAAGGAGAGUCCACAGGGUCCUCAUUGUUGAAGCAGGACAAGAAAAUUAAUUUCCCUAGUAAUUAAUAUGUUGCCACUGCAGUAAUAGACCAACAUGACAAGGUGAAGGAUCUUAGUACGAAUAUGAUCCAACAUGAUGCUUGAGCUGCAUGUUGAAAGUAGACAUUGACAUUGAUUGUUUCAUUUCUGGGAGCCUAUCAUCCAUGGCCCUAAUUAACUGCAUUUGGAAAUCUGUGUGAGCUACCUAUGGAACAGGCUUUGUCUGUCCUUGCAUUUCUCCCUGAAUGGGGCUGCAAGGCUAAACUCUCUGGUUGCCUACUUUUACAGUGGGGACAGUUGCAAUACACAUGAGCACAUUUGAAUGGCUGCUUUAACCUUUUCAGUGAGGAGAAGAUGCUCAACCAUGAGACCUCUUGUGAAGAGGAGGCAACACGUCCCAUACCCAAUUCAUUUCACGGAGGUCAUCCAAGUGCUUUCACCAAAUUCUCUUAUUUUCAUUGUGACAUGAGAAGACAUUCUUAUUGAAGUGUGCUUAAAAGAAAGCAGUCCUUGAACUCUGGAGUGACAGAAUUUUGUCUUCGUAGUUCAGUGUGGUCUACUUAUUCCCUGUGAGAGCCGAAGCAAUGCAGGAAGCACACCUUUCCCUGCAACAAUAUGGGAGGGGCUGAUACCUGGGACCUCAGUGAAGCACAGGCUGAGUUUAUUCACAGUCCAGAUUUCCUCAUUACUCCCAUGUUAUCAUUAAUAUUUCAGAUCUCCUCAAAGUCAAAAUACCAGAAUAUCUUUGUUCUCAUGAGAAAUCCAACAGCUCCUGGGGGGAAAACGCUAUCUGGAGAAAAAUCCAGACUAGAAGUGUUUAGCUGAAAAUAAUCCCCACUUUCAUUUUAAUUUACUCAUAUUUUAAUUGGAGGGAAAGAGAUGUGGGAAAUAUUGGUGAGCAGUGAAAAAGGAAGAAAGGCAAAUUCUGUACACCAAUCACUGGAGUAAAAGGUCACACCAAGGGGCAGAAUUUCCCUUCACUACAGCUGAUAAUGUUCCUCUCUAUGGAAUAUCACGGGGAAAAAAAAUCCUAAAUUUCAGUGCUUUUCAGUGAAAAUAUUUGAUUCUUAGUCUCAAGAUUUAGACUGAGAACAGGAGGCAGUGAUGGAAUAAAUGAAAUGGAAAAAACCCUAUUAACACUCCAGGUCUCCUAAGAGUAGAAGUGACAGAACAGCCUUGUUCUUUUAAACAGAGUGCAGAGGACAUUUUAGCAGAAAACAACAACCAGCGAUAAGAUCCUAUUUGAGGGGCAUCAAUUUUCCCCUCAGGGCUCUACACAGAAAAGAACGUAACAGCACAUUUUACUCCUGCUGGAGAUGUGCUAAAGCAGCUGUCCAGUACUUGGAAUAGGAGGAAAAACUGUUCUUUGUUACUUCAGUCUUUCUCUAUAUCUGAUGCAAGUCAGAAUUCAACCUUUGCAAAAUCACAAGUUGUACUCAGCUCUGGAUUUCAGAGUUACAGACCAACUCCUCCAUCAAUUCCUAUUUCCACCAUUCCUAUUUCUCUUCGUCAUACACUGCACUGGUACCCUGCAAUCACAACUUUCCCACAGUACUGAACUUCAAACAGUAAAUCACACACAAUACCAAAGUCUCAUUGAAGAGAGGUUUCAACCCAUAGUGAAAAUUGGUCUCCUGUUUUUCUUAAAAACAGGAAUAAAUUAGUAUUUGCAAACUGACUAUAACACAUCUGUAGUAUUGAGAGCUUUGUAACAGCACCCUUCCAGAGAUCUACCCUGUGUGUGUCCUCCCUUACAUUUAAGUUUCUGAAGUGAGGAGCCGACAUCACACAAGCAAGGCUGGAAGGAGCCCUAUGACAUCACCUCUGCUAUCUUUCUUCCCCAAGGUAUCAAAAGAAGUAAUUUAAGGGCAUUCUGAUAGAUCAGAGAUAGCCACCCAUUUUGUUUGGAGAAAGUAUAUGAAAGCUUUCGUACUUCAGAAGACUAUAGAACAGGCUAGAACUUUCAGAGCAAUACUUCUAUUUUCUGGCACAUUUUUUUCUAACUCGGGAACUCUUUUCACAAGAGUUUUGAUCUCAGGUUUAUCAGGCAGUUGGGGAAGAAAAGAUAAGGACUGAAACAUUUCAAACUAACUGAAAGUAUCUGUGUAAGACUGAACCUAAGGGAAGAUGAAAACUCAAAAGUGGGCAGUUGUGUUCUUGUUUAUCCCAAUCUCACCACACCCACAUGGUAGCAAAAUAGGCCCCAUGCCGAGAAUUUGUGGCAAGAGCCUAUUGUGUGGGCUUGGAAUAAUUUAAGAAUUGACUGUCAGUCUGUUUCUUGGCUUCCAGCUAUGAAGUAAUGCUCUAAGUAGAGAGCGAUACUCUGAAGCGCUCAUUACAAUCUUUAAAGCUGUCUCAUUUUCAAUUAUGAAUAUUAAAAAGAAGUACUCAGUAAUUCCUGCAUUAUAAUUAAUAUUCCAACUUUUGGUGUGGCUUGUUGGUUUUUUAAGGUCUAUUUUUAAAGACACUCUCUUAACUUAUUCCGGAGUUAGUUCCCAACAACCAAAUAUUGUUCCUGUUUAUAUCAGUGGGGAAAGUCCCAGUGAAAAAACUAAUCAGACCGAAGUUAAUGAAAACAACACCCCCAUUUAAAACAAUGCCCUAGCCUUAAACAAUCUGCUCGCAUUGCCUACUUGUAUAAAAUUUUAUAGCCUGCAUGUUCCAACCUUAAAAAAAAAAAUCCUGAUUAUUUAUUUAUGCCCUUUUUGUUUAAGAAGUUAAAUCCCCAGAGCAUCUCAAUUUAGAUCAAAAGCAAGCUACCAAAAUUCACCUGGCACACCUGUGCCGUGUGAUUUCUUAAUUACUUGCCUAGCAUUCUCAGAGCUACAAGGCAGAGAUGCAGGGCUCGUUUAGCACAUAUUCAGAUCUCUGCAAUGAACCUUGUGUAACAGAGACUUUCCAGAGUGCCCGAGGUGGUAACCAGUGUUAAACGAUCCCAUAUCUCCACAAACACUUGCAUUUCAGCAAUUUGCUUUCUCACAGGUUUCAGAAGACAGAGAGCUAUCUUGGGGUGAGUAAUCUGGGGAAAUAGAUUGAUUUAUUUAUGAGUUUCUUGAUGAAGGUUUUCCCCGGCUAGUGAGCAGCAUGGUGUUCCUUGCGCCAGUAGAGCCUUCUCAGUUCGAAGCGUAGAAGUAGGCCUAUUAAUUAUGAUAGCCACAGGUUGUUAUUACUUACAUUUAUGAUGCAACACCCUAGGAACCAAGGGAAGAGUUUGGCCAUUUCUGUUACACCUCAGACAAGUCUUCAGUUGACAGUCAUGGACAUUAACCUAAAAAGAUGUACUCAAAACAGGAGCAUGAGGUAUGGCACAAACAAGGCUCAUCUGAGGGAGCACACCCCAAGUUUUUGCUGAGACACUUCUUCCUCUUGGCUACAGGAUGUUUCUACACAGUGAUGAGAAACUGAGUUCACAUGUUAGAUGUGACUGCUGCUAUGCUGAUAUGCACGACUGACCAUUGAUAUGCCCCUUGUCUAGCCAGAGAACAUGCACCACUUGGAUGUAGAUGGGCUCAAAUUCAUGUUCAGUUUGCACGUACACUGACAAUUGUGUACAUGCAGGAGAAGAUCAAUCAUGUCUUAAACCUCCCUAGCACUGAGCACUCCUAGCUGUGUGUCUUCAUGCACGCAGUUUUAUAUUUUAAUAGGAUAGUCACGGUAAUUUGUUCUUUACAAGCGGUUUGGAUAGCAAUUAGGCAUCAAAUAUUACAGCUGCUUCUUUGGCUAUUUGUCAUUAGUGUAAUUUCAUUAAUUGGACAAAGCAUUGACUCUGUUAACCUGAAUAUAAUUUAAACUGCUGAAAGCUGAUGGCAUCUCUCUUGGUACAGUGAAAAUACACUGCUCUGUCAGAAAGCUAAAGGCAAUUAUUACUAUUAAUAGUGCAUGCUUCCACAGCACAAAGAAACUUCAGUGCCAUCAGGAUUCCUUACAUGCAAGAGAUGAAGCAGUUGACUUGAAUCACGCACAAGAUGAACAGAUGCAACCUGUGAUCCCUGCUUUAUCAGCGUGUCAUUCACUGUGACCAUUAAUGGACACAGAAAACAUUCAAUUCGAUAAUGUGUCUUUUCAUGAAAGAUUUUAGGAGAAAAUAUUUUCAGUUGUUUGCUUCAAAAUUCAAUUUUUCAUUGAGAAACAUAUCCAUUGCCAAGAAUAUUGCCAAAAAUUGCCAAAAAGUCCCAAAUGAAACCAGAGAUGCUGAAAAGGCUCUGCGCAAGAUCUGUUUCAAGCAAAUAGAAGUCUCUUUUGGCAACACCAUUCUGAUUUGAUUACAGGAAAAGACAAGCCAGUAAAUUUUAAUUUGUAGAUUUGUAAUUUGUUCAUAAAAAUUUCAAAUAAUUUUGCAAGGAAGAUUGCCGUGUAUCUUACAGAUAAUACAAAAGAGAUCUUCAGGUACACUGAGAUUCGGUUGAUCAGGAUACUAAUUACUAAGCUACAUUUAAUUUCAAAAUUUUAAAAUGCUUGAAAACUCAACCAAUCAUCUCUGUUCCUUGAAAACACAUUGUUUUUCAGAAAUAUUACAGAAAAUCUGGGAUAUGGAGAUAUUUUUAAAGGUUGUGCUUCAUAACAAUGCAUUUCCCAGCUUCCUCUGUGCAAUAAAAAGGUAAACUAAGUUAUCAACAAGAAAUCUAUCUGCUAAAAGUUAAUAACAAACAUCUGCUGGUCUCCUGGGAGAGACAGUGGAAAAUGGGUGGGAAUUUCCAGCUUUAAGCAGCCACUCCCGCAAUGUUCAAGUCAACAGAAAAACCUGUCAGUAGAAGGUCAGAGUCAUUAGGAGAUUUUUUCCCCUGCAGAGAAAUAGAUCAGAUACCCAUAAUUUCAGAGACAUUAUUUAGGAUUUUACAAAGUUCUCACAUUAGCUGAAGCUCUUAUGUAAAGCCUACCUUUCGGAGCUACAUCUUAAAGGCUUAUAAGACCACCCUGAAAGGUGCAAAGAAGACACGAACAAGCUCUUGUCAGUGGUGCCCAGUGCUAGGACAAGAGGUGACGGGUGCAAACUGGGGCACAGGAGGUUCUCCCUGUCCAUCAGGAGGCACUUCAGUGCUAUACAGGAGACAGAGCACUGGCACGGGGACACAGAGAGGGUCUCCUCUUUGGAGAUCUCCAAAAGCCACCUGGAUGUGGGCCUGGGCACCCUGCUCUGGGUUGUCCCGCUGGAGCAGGGAUGGGCCAUAUGACUCCAGAUACCUCUUCCAACCUCGGCCAUUCCACGAUUCUGUGGCUAUAAGCAAGCAAAGGUCCCAAUCCACAAAAGAAUACAGUUUAAAAAGAUUCCUAACAUCAGCAAAGUCGAGACAAUAUGUAAUGUCCCAUAUGUUCAUGAUCCUAAGCCCCUUGCACUAUCUUAGGUAAUGCUCUUUUAGUGUCAGAAAUGUCUCAUUUGCCAAUCACUAAGAAUACAUACAUAAGCCAUUAUUUCUGUUCAGUUGAUUCAUGGUCAUUUGUUAGAUUACAGUAAUAUGAUUGUGACGCUGAGUCCUAAGAAGUCAUUAUCUAAGGUAAUUAUAAAUUCUAAAGGAGCAAAAUACUUUCAGCACAUAGAGGGAAAGAACAGGUAGUUUAAUAUGAAGUUCUGCAGGUACCUUCAGAAUGUCUGACCUGAAAGAUGCCAGGUUUUAAUGAGGAAAGAGGAUAAGUGCUGAUAUUCUGUUCUUGUUAACUUGAAAAUUUUGAGAUACUUAAAAACUUUUUUUUAUCCAUAGUUUAUAGAAAAUUUAGCUCUUUCAAUUUGCUAACAAAGUUUUCACCAUGAUAUUACGUAAUAUUGACUGUAGCAUGGUAAGACUUAAAAUGGGUAAAAACCCAUUACUAUUUUUGCAGUUUUCUUUCUUACCAAACCACUUAUUCAGCAAACAAAUAGCAUAAGGUGAUACUAUUUUCAGGUAUUUUCCUGUCUCUGGGAUAACUGCUGAAGCUUACAUCUGUAAAUAUUAGCUUAAGCAACCGGUUAAAUAUAUUUCUGGUCCUCAAAGAAAUAACUGUAGUUAUAUUUAAGCAUUCCUACUUACGAACAUUUUCACGUAAGUAUCUUCUACCAUCAUUGGCUAAUAUCUCUGCCGACCAACUGUCAUGGAUGUGGCGCAGUUCAAAUCAUCUUGCAUUUCUGUGGGUUUACAUCAUCUUAAACCUGUAUUAAUUUGAAGGUACAUUUGGCACAAUGUGAGUUUUAUGGGCAUCACUUGUAGCAUCAGCAAUUAUUGAGAUUACUUGUUUCUUCUCAUUUCAAGCAUGUUGGUGCUGCCAGUGUUACAGUCAUAUGACUAGGGUGAGCCUGACAUGUCAGACACCUGUCUGAGCUUGAAAGAUUUUUGGAAAACUUCAUCCUAAGGAGUUCAGCUUUUUCCAACACUUUGACCAUGGAAAAAUCCCCAUCUUUUUCAUGUUAAACUUCGAAGUAACCUUUUUUUUUUUUUUUUUUUUUUUUACCACAACUUUAAC
rnacentral:lncRNA from 1 species